rnacentral:misc_RNA from 1 species
GAUGAAGAACGCAGCGAAAUGCGAUAAGUAAUGUGAAUUGCAGAAUUCAGUGAAUCAUCGAAUCUUUGAACGCACAUUGCGCCCUCUGGUAUUCCGGGGGGCAUGCCUGUUCGAGCGUCAUUACAACCCUCAAGCUUUGCUUGGUAUUGGACAUUGCCAGUUUCUGGCAGGUCUUAAAAUCAGUGGCGGUGCCAUUUGGCUUCAAGCGUAGUAAUUCUUCUCGCUUUGGAGAUCCAGGUGGUUACUUGCCAAUAACCCCCAAUUUUUUCAGGUUGACCUCGGAUCAGGUAGGGAUACCCGCUGAACUUAAGCAUAUCAAAAGCGGAGGA